rnacentral:rRNA from 1 species
GUGGGGAAUUUUGCGCAAUGGGGGAAACCCUGACGCAGCAACGCCGCGUGCGGGAUGACGGCCUUCGGGUUGUAAACCGCUUUCAGCAGGGAAGAAAUUCGACGGUACCUGCAGAAGAAGCUCCGGCUAACUACGUGCCAGCAGCCGCGGUAAUACGUAGGGAGCGAGCGUUAUCCGGAUUCAUUGGGCGUAAAGAGCGCGUAGGCGGCCUUUCAAGCGGGAUCUCUAAUCCGAGGGCUCAACCCCCGGCCGGAUCCCGAACUGGGAGGCUCGAGUUCGGUAGAGGCAGGCGGAAUUCCCGGUGUAGCGGUGGAAUGCGCAGAUAUCGGGAAGAACACCGAUGGCGAAGGCAGCCUGCUGGGCCGAAACUGACGCUGAGGCGCGAAAGCUAGGGGAGCGAACAGGAUU